rnacentral:rRNA from 1 species
UACGUAGGGUACGAGCGUUGUCCGGAAUUAUUGGGCGUAAAGAGCUCGUAGGUGGUUGGUCACGUCUGCUGUGGAAACGCAACGCUUAACGUUGCGCGUGCAGUGGGUACGGGCUGACUAGAGUGCAGUAGGGGAGUCUGGAAUUCCUGGUGUAGCGGUGAAAUGCGCAGAUAUCAGGAGGAACACCGGUGGCGAAGGCGGGACUCUGGGCUGUAACUGACACUGAGGAGCGAAAGCAUGGGGAG